rnacentral:lncRNA from 1 species
AUGGCUAUGGAGGACUUUUUCCCCCAUCUUGUGGACCUAAGGAUUUUGAUACUGAUUUAUGGACUUAGGUUUCAUGGCUUCAGAGGGGCGUGGAGUGCAGCCUUGCAGCAGCACCGGAGAGGAGCCCCAGGGGCCGCUUCCCACCGCAGGAUGCUCCGGGAGGUCCCGCAGCGCCCCGGUCCCCGUCCCCCCGAGCCGCGGCGUGUCCCGGGCCAGCCCUACCCUGUCCUGUACAUAACCAGUGAGAUGUCUGUAAAAGAUUUCAACCCCUGGAAGUUUUUUUGCUCCUCCCUCCCCCUCCCCUUCUUCCCCAGUUUGUUGAUUGUGUUGAAAUUGUCGGAGUUUGUAACAGUAUCUUUCAGAGAAUAUUGUACUAAAGAGAAAAUUGCACUCAAUAAAAAGGAUGAAAUAAGCCUGGUCCCUCGCCUUCCCCUUCCCAGGGCAGCUUUCCUGCUGCCGGCUUCUCUUCAGCUCGGAGCUGGGGGAGUGUUUCCAUGAAUAUUCAUUUGGGGAGCUGGCAGCGCUCCACCGCUCCUUGACUUACCUCGAAUGUUGAUGUCUAUCAGAUUUGGCUCCCCGGUUUGUAAAUGAAGUGACUUUAUUCUCGGCGAUCCCUAUCGGAGCUUGCUCGCAGCAAAAGAAGCCGGGAGAAGGAGUUUUCCUGGCAGGGCUGUUUGUGCGGAGCGCCGUUCAAAGCCCGGGUGUGCGAUGGCGCAGGGAAACGCGCUGGAAGCGCUGCCUGGGAUCAAAGAGCCGUCCCUGCUGGCUCCCAGCCUCCCGUCCUGCUGGAGCCUGUCCAUACAUCUCGACUGCAACCUGCCUUCCUCAAGGAUUACUGUAAAUGAUGGCUGGCAAAUGGAUUCUUCCUCGUGUAUUGGCUGCACUUGGGUGUUUUAUCCUGCUGGGAUCAGUCCCACAACCCAUCCAGCUCUGUCACACACACUCUUGGGGUGGUCCUGUGCAGGGUCAGGAGUCGGACUCCAUGAUCCUUGUGGGUCCCUUCCACCUCAGGAUAUUCUGAUUCUCUGAGAUCCAGGUGAUGCUGAGAGCAGCUGGUCCUCCUGGCACUGGGAACAUCCUCC